rnacentral:rRNA from 1 species
AAUGGCUCAUUAAAUCAGUUAUCGUUUAUUUGAUAGUACCUUACUACAUGGAUAACCGUGGUAAUUCUAGAGCUAAUACAUGCUAAAAACCCCGACUUCGGAAGGGGUGUAUUUAUUAGAUAAAAAACCAAUGCCCUUCGGGGCUCCUUGGUGAAUCAUAAUAACUUAACGAAUCGCAUGGCCUUGCGCCGGCGAUGGUUCAUUCAAAUUUCUGCCCUAUCAACUUUCGAUGGUAGGAUAGUGGCCUACCAUGGUAUCAACGGGUAACGGGGAAUUAGGGUUCUAUUCCGGAGAGGGAGCCUGAGAAACGGCUACCACAUCCAAGGAAGGCAGCAGGCGCGCAAAUUACCCAAUCCCGACUCGGGGAGGUAGUGACAAUAAAUACUGAUACAGGGCUCUUUUGGGUCUUGUAAUUGGAAUGAGUACAAUUUAAAUCCCUUAACG